UUAAUACAGUUAAGCAGCAAUUGAAUCAGCAAAAGUAGCAAAAGCACUUUAAGGAGCAGGAGGCGAAGAAGAUGCCAUAGAGUCUGCUGUUAGGACAAAGAUGGUGAUGUGUGAUUUAUAGAAAUAAUCCUCUAUGCUCGAUCGGUUUCUUAGUAUGAUUUCAGCCGUCUAAUUGGGCGUGACGGCUGAUGAUCAUGUAAUAAUUACAAUCAUUUACAAUCUGAAAAUCGUUAGCUUUCUAUGGAAAUUCUGCACUUCUUAAACUAGCCAUUGCCAGGCCAGCUACGUCCAUAUGUAUAUUUAUAUUUUUUGGAAAUUAAGGAAACAAAAUGAUUAAUAAUAGAAGUGGCUCAUUAAAAAACAGAUUACACGGCUUAUAUAUUUUUAUAUGAUGUACAUGUUUAAUGAUAAUCGACGAGAUUCUCUAUGUGUCAAUCCGAAUUAUAUGCUAAAUAUUACUUAGCUUUAAUAUUAUCCAAUACUCAAAUUUCCGAAUGUCACUGUCCCAAGCCUUAAUAACAAGUCACUGUUUAUUUUGCAUUAGCUCCAGUUCUUUCCAUUCUUGUAUUUUAUUUGCUUUGAUAUUAUUUGAUUAUGUAUAUGUGCCUGUUUGGAUGAUUCGCCCAUGGUCAUCUAUUUGGCAUAAUCUAGAUGAUAAUAUAGGCAACAACAAAAUUGAGAAGAAUGCAUGAAUAAUUAUUUGGGAAAAUAAAACAAAUAGUUCUUAAACUUUUGUCCAAUAGAAAAUAUUAUUAUUUGAUUUUGCAUACAUUUAAUGUGGCCCUUAAACUAUUUCUAAAUUGUUAAUAUACUUUUUAAACUUUUAACAUGUUCAUUUUAGUAUCUCAACCUUUCAUAACAAAGUUAAAUUAGUUCUAUGGUACUAUUCACAAGUUUUUAUGAUUAUAUUCUUACCCAGAUUUUAGAAUUGUUUUCAUUUUAAUCAAUUUCCUAAAUCAGAAAGAUAUAUGCUAUCUUUUUAUUAUCUUUUUACUAUUUGGUCUUUAUAAAUAUUAUUAUAGUUCUAUUUGAGUAUACUUUAACUUAUGAAAGCAAAAAUAUAACUCAUUUAAGUUAUAUCGGAUCAUAUUCCUCUUAUUCUAAAAAUAAGUGUUUUUAUAAGAGUAUUUAAUAUUGAUAUUAUUCUAUCUAUAUAUGUACUUACAUUAAUCUAAAUAUUGUUUAUAGAUACGUAGAAUUUUCAAUUUUUUUUUGUUUUUUUAUUUAAAUUUAGUUGAAAUUGUAAAUUAGAAAAUUAAAUUGACUUGAUACAACACUAAAUGAGGUUCUAUUUUUACUAAUGGAUAGAUCAUAAGUUGAAAUACACUUAAAUGGAACUUCAUAACGGUUAUAAAGACCAAAAAAUUAACAAAGUAAUAAAAAGAUAGUGAUAUUUUUUUGUUAAUCUAUGAAAUGGACUGCAAUAAAAAGAUGUUCUUAAAUAUAGGCAAUGGUAUACUUUUUGAAAACUUUUGUCUUUUUUAAUGGAAAGUUGAGGGUCUAUAUUAAACAAAUUGAAAUUUAUAGACUAGAUUAAAUAUUAUGAAUAGUUCAAGGACCACAUAAAAUAUAUUAUAAGUUCAAGAAUGACAUUGUACGUUGGGCCAAAGUGAAGAGACCAUUUUGGUCAUUUUCUCUUAUCCUUUUCAUAAAAGGGGAAAAAAAAAAACCUCAUGGGAGUUAUUAAAAUUAGCAUAAUCAAAUUCACAAACUCAUAAAUCUCUAGUUGGCACAAGUAAGAUGGACUUUACUUGGCCCAUAAUCGAUCCACAAUAAAUAAUUAGCAAUUCCUAAAGCAAAAACAAAUAAAAAAAAUUAUUGAGAAAUUAAGUUGUGAUUGACAAAGCCGUGCAAAGUGUCCCGACCUACUCCUCGGUAGGGGGAAAUCAUAUUUUUAGGGUAUUGUCUAAAGGACGGGACUACGGUCUACGAUUUAGACAUGAGCUUUCCCAAACUCAUAUCCUGCGUGACGUUAAGUAUUCAAAUUGAUGUUAUGAGAAUUUUCUAAAAAUGAGUAAUCACUAAUCUAUUGGGAUUGGCUAGAAACUAAGUGAAGCAUAGAAGUGUGCUUUUACUUCCCAUGUAAUAGGAGAAUCUAGGGUUGAGGACUUGAUUGCACUAAUUAAUUAAUUAGUGCUAUUUUAGUACCUAAUAUAUUCAUUUCAAAAAAAAAUUGUUAUGUACUUUGGAUUGAUUUUAAAUCUAUUCACUAACAUGUGAGGUGAUCAUACGGGUGCGUACUCUUUACAACAACAAUUAGCAGUCAAGGAAAGUAUUAAAUAAAUUGCAAGACAAAGUAAAGGUCUAAAACUAAGGGAAAAAAAUCAUUUAUAACUAGGCUUUGGGAAAAACAUGAUCAAUGUAAUGAAAGUGCUCAAUCAAUUGAUAAUUCACCCCAAAAAGGGAAUAUUGAAAGCCUACCAUAAAGCCAUAAGAGUUUGUUCAAAUUGAGCACGAUUUUUACCAAGGAUUAUUGCAUAUUAAAAAGAAAACUACUCAAAAAGACUUUUUUUUCCGAGAAAUUAAAAUUUUUGAAAGUUUUUCUUGGGUUGUUAAGAAUUUUUAGGUUUUUUUAAAUAUUUUAAAUAUUUUUUAUGAAUUUUCUAAAACAGAAUUUUAUUUUUCGAAUUUUAUGAAUAUUUUUAUGAUUUCGUUAAUUAAUAUUUUUCUAUAAUUUUUAACAUUAUAAAAAAGAAAUAGGAACGGGCUGAGACUCGGCCGCACUAAACCGACCCGGACCCUUUCGGUCCGGGUGGGACUAAGAACAUUUUUUAAAAGACGGCCCACUCAGCCCACUCACAAUUCCCUCAUAUUCACCAUCGGCCCACAAUAGCCCGAAGCCCACCAUGAAUGAAGCCCGUUUUCUCUUCUCUUUUCCACAAGCCCAGAUGAGGGUUUACUUCGUGGAACAGCACCCACCCAGAAACUUCAACAUCCCAUAUCAAUUUCAGAAUAAUUUUUUUAAAAAAAAUAGUACCCUUAUUAUCUCAUCUUAAACCAAGCAUAACAUAAUCCAUCAUCAUGCAUCUUAAACACAAGAAGAAGCACUUGGGCCGUGAGCAACAUAGUAAAUGAAGGAAGAAGAAUCCUAACCCAAUUCAGCCAAGUAAAGCCGACUCAUUGCUUCAGGGAAGGAAACCGAGCCGUCGAUUGGGCGUCUUCCCAUGUCCACCCUCUUCAGAAUAUACGGCGAAAGUGGCUGGCCGGGUAAGGCGAAAGGUGAGGGGAGUUCGUGAGCGUCCGAGAGCGUGGAAUUCAAAAGAAAAAGAGUGAUCUUCGAGUCCCCCUCGUGCUCUCACUGCUGGAUACGUGUAAAAUGGCAAGAAGUCAGUGUUAUAAUUGGACAGAACUCGAAAACCAAAGAAGGCAGAGAGGACUUGGCUUCGGUUUUGCUACUGGAACUGCAGGAAACGCAGAUGAUUCUUCUCUCGCAGCAGGCCGGGAACCUCCAUCGCCGGACCACCACCACCCGCUGGCCGUUCAGGAACUCCGUCGCCACAAUCGACACGAGCCGGCAGAGUGUAUGGUGCCUUUGUGUCGAGACCUGAACAGCAAAAGCACGGACUCGUCUCGUGGGUCGAUGUUGAGCGACUCGCAAGGGUUCAAGCUCAUCAGCAGGAGGACCUCAAAACGCGAUCAAAAUUUAGAUGUCAACACUAGACGUCGAUGUCGAGCGACUUGUUCAACACUUUGAAAUGGAGACAAAUUCUCUCGACCCCAGAUGAAUAGAUAAUUCUUUUUUCUUUUUCUUUUUUUUUAUGUCUCCUUUUUUAAUAAUAAUUUUUUGAUUUUUUUGAAUUUUUUUUUUGGAAAUUUUAAUAAUUAAUGCUAUGAAUGCAAAUAUCUCUAAUAUAAAGGUGAUGCAUGAAAAUUAUUUACUUCACCCUUUUCUUCUUACUAAUUAAUUUUUUAGUAAUAAUUUUUUAAUUUAAUUUAUAAAAAAUAAUAAUAGUAAUGCUAAUGUUCGUAACGUCUAUAUGUGAUGCAAUUUAAUGAAAAUUAAUUUUUACUUAUCAGUUAAAAAUUAAUUCUUAAUUUUCUACGUGAUAAAGUUCUUAAUAAAAUGACCAAAAUUUAGGUGUCAACACUAAACAAAAGCGCCACCUUGCAAGAGUGAUUAUUAUGCCCGCUUGACGCAAACUCCCUCUAGUUUCACAUCAGAAGAGUCGCGACAUGGAUCAUUCGAGGACUCUCCCAUCUGCUUUUUAGCAAAAGUAAAGAAACAAAGAAACAAAGAAAGAAAGACAACUGGCCUUUGGCAGAGUGAAGAGGAUUCGGAUUGGAGAUACUUGAAUUUAAUCUCGCCGAGAAUAAAGCAUCGUCGAAUCCGCUUAUUUGAAUUAAUCACAGAGCCACCGCAUCGAGAGCACCAUUUUCCCAUGCCACUAUGCAAAAUUGCAACAUAAUGGAGCAACAAACAAAGCAAAGAGGUUAUCGAAAUGCAAGCAAUUAACAAGCGCAAUUUAACGUGGUCGCUAUACAAAGACUUCCUACCUUCAUCUUUUCAAAUUAUUAGCUCUGUUUGUAAUGCCAGGGGAUGUCCCUAAGCUAUUGUACUUCAUUUGCUUAAUAAUACUUACAUUUUACACCCAAAAAAAUAAAGUAAGAAAUGUAUAAAACCAUACUCUGAUUGGUAGUAGCACAAUCCUUAUCAUACUGAUAGGAACGUAUAUGUAUCCAUCUGGGUAGAUUCUCGUGAAAACUGGUUCCACAAGUCUGAACUUCUAUGUGUAUACCAAACUAUUGAGUUCUUUCUGUGAUGGAACACUUAACAUUCUUAAAUAAUAAUAAAAAAUGAUAGAUAUAUUCGUGCAUGAUGGUCAAGCUUUCUGGCAUAACCAAAGCAUUUGGGUUAUAUUCGUGUGUGGAAAUGCAUUAACAGUCUUAAUUAGGGACCUAUAACUACCGUGAGAUUAGCAAUCCUCGUAAAAUUGCCUACUUCAACUAAGAAGACGACUAACUAAAUUGGUAACUAAACUCCUUUUGUAAUCGCAUUACCUUUUUUCUCCAUCUUGUGUUUUCUGCAGCAAAAAUUAGUUUUUGUUCUUGCCGUACUCCUAAUCAUCAAGGGAAACACCAAAGAAAAAAAAUUAAGAUAGAUAAGAAGCGCAGACAAGUCGUCAUCCCUGUUCUACACAUCUUCUUUCCUUUUAGUCACUCACUGACUGUUUUGCUUUGUCACUGUACUUGAUACGUCAUACAUGCUUCUUUUAUGGAACUUAAAAGGCAGUGAAACAGUAGAGAUGAGAGACAAAUCUAGUAGUGAAAAGUUAGAGAUUGACUAUAAUGAAAUAAGUGCAUGGUACGUUGAUGAAAUGAAACUUUGUACCAGGAGGAAAACUUCACUUAUAAUUUCUCCCAGUUGGUUAGCCAAGUCCUAAACCACCAAGGUGUGUUUAGAGGUCGAGACUAAAUUUUGCUUAUCUAACAUUCGUCAGCCAGAAUAGAUGCAGAAAAAUUGAAAAGUCACAUUACUCUAAAAUCUUUUAAAGUUAUCUCUAAAACAUCAUCAAUCACUAUAAUUAACAAUCAAAAGAGGAGUAAAACCGCAUAAUUAGAAGACUGCCAUAAGAAAUAAAAAUCCCAAUAAGGUAGUAAACAAUAACUAGGACAACCAAACAAAAUUAUUCAGACACUAUACUCUCUUGGUGAUUCUUAGCUAAGCUGAGAGAGAGAGAGAGAGAGAGAGAGAGAGAGAGGCUUUGGUUAGAGCUGUUUGUGGAACUUGAGCAUCAAAGUGCUAAAUUUAUAGUAUAAAAUUCAUGGCGAGCAACUUCGUCUGGUGAAGUCUCCCCCUCGCUUGAGAAGUUAAUCCAUAGUGCUUGAUAGAUUCCCACCUGUCCUUGUUUAUAAUAGACGCUUGACCCAUGCCAAGCAACUUUGUCUGGUGAAGUCCUCCCCUUGCUGGAGAAGUUAAUCAACAGUGCCUGAUGGAUCCCACAUCUAGCCUGGCUUAUUCCUUCCCUUUUGUCCUCUUUCCAGAAUUCUACAAGUCUGUGUUCACCUUCUUGAGGAAGUUUUAUAGCCAUCGCUAUCGUUUUUUAGUCUUGUGAAUGUCCUUUUCCACUCCUCUCCUUUUCUCUAUCCCUCCCCAUAUGUGGACAGAUUCCUCUUGUGGGGUCAUCCUGCCAAAAGAAAGGAGUAAAAGAUGGCAAUUUUAUGGGAUUGUUUUUCAAUCUUUUUCCCUUCUUAUUUGAUCAAUCACUGUAACACGCCUGUAUUUCCAAAAUCCUACUUUCAACACCACUCUAAUUUGGAGGGAACGCAAUAACACCGUGAGUUAAUUUUUUUAUAUCUCAAACAAAUAGGACCAGAUCUCCCCAAAUCACCAAUUAUUUCCCUUGAAUUGUCUCGCGGGACUUGAUAGAAUGAAAAGUCUCCCUAGCUAAAUACUUUCUAAUACCCCUGGAAAAAUAUUUUUGGUGAGAAUACAAUGACAAUUUGGUCGAAACUAGAGUGGUAUCAGCGUAAAUUAAUCUUAUUAAACGGUCAAGCCUGAAUAUGGUCUCUAACUUGCACUGUUCCUUCAGCAUUGUCUUUUCAUCUUCUUUCUUGUGCAAUUGAGUCAUUCUAUCUGUUCCGUCAAGAUUUAUCAUCAAUAGCCAUUAGUAACAGCGCUAUAAUGCUCUGCUGGCGUGACUAAUAGUCUCACAUGGUGGGUGGGUGGGUGUGAGUCUGUGAGAGAGAGAGAGAGAGAGAGAGAGGCCAUUAUGUUGGAAAUCCUCUAGUGAACUGUCAUCUAUACUAGGACAUUUCUAGUUUGCAAAUAAUUCAGGUUAUUGUUACAUAUAUGAGAACAUACCGCAGGGGACCUUGUCUUAAUGAACCAAAUGUUUAUGGCCCUUCUCACAUCAUAAAUGAUGUUUUGGAUUUUGCUGGGCAGCUUGACAUAGGUCACUGGUGUACCGAAUGUCCCUAAAUAAAAGCUUUCCCCUAUUUCUCGCUCUUAAAAUUCAGUGUCUGUUGAAAUGUAUUCUCAGUCCUCAUUUGUUGUUCUUGGUGUUCUGAGUACAUGUGCGUGAUUCUAGGAAGACUCAGAUUUAACUUCUUAUAAAGUAGGAUUUGCCCUAUGUAGACUGAUUAGUUUGCAUGCUGUGUUCAUGGACCGCGCCCACAAAAAGAACCCAUCUCAUGUGAUCGAUCCUUUGUUGAGUUUGUAACUAAAGAAAUACAUGGACUGAUGGACUGAAAGUCAACUUUAAAGGAGACAUCGCUGUGGCAACUUGUUGAUUCUUCGCGUUAUAUACAGCAGAGAGCGAAGAAAGUAAAUUACAGAGCAGUCUCACAUCUAGUGAGAUAUUCAAAUUCCGUUAAUGCAAAAAGAAGUACAAAGCAUUAGCAUCAAAAGGAAGACAAGCUACAUACACACGAAUUGUGACAUGACGUACAAAAUUUUGACAAUCGUACUUGUCAAUGAUACUGCAUCACACUCAGGGCAAAAUAGCAGUGAAAAUCAUAAAUCAAAUACUUGGCAGGUGAAGGUAAGAGGCGACCAACAGGAGAAUCCCGACGAGCAGGUUCACAAGAUUACGCAGGGGAGGAUUUGUUGAACUUUUUGUGCUCUCGGUGGAUGGUCUGGUCGAUGCAGUCACAGAAUUUGAAUUCUCUACGGCAUGUUCAAUCUCGCUGCUGUUUGUCUUCCUCGGUGAAUUACUGGCUGAACCGUGCUCUGUGUAUUUUAGUACCUGCCAACAUAAAGUAUUUCAAAUAGGUGAUGUGAAAAGGAAAAGGAAAGUAAGGAUUAACAAGGUCUAAAAAUUGAAGAAUUUUCCUAGUUUUUCUAUUGAUUUUCCGAAAAAAAAUGGAGCACGCCAAUCAAACUAAAUGGUCCAAUGAUGCACAUCGAGACUGGAAGACAAUAGAAAGACAAAAUCUGUUCAACUGGGAGCUUCUUUCACCUUCGCUUUAGCUGCAUGUUCAUCCAGAGAAACACAUUCUGUCUUAACAUUUCUCAAUGCAAUUCCCUGCUUCUUAAACUUUUCAAGCCUUGGUUCCUCAUUGAUAUAAAUUCUUGGAGACUCGGGAAUUUCUGGACUCUUGGGCUCUUUCAGAAGCUCUAUAGAUUUGGUGGAGGAAACAUGUGAGCUGUUGAAUUUACUCUGCAUGAAACCUUCCUUUUGCUCGAAAGGAACAAUACCAUGGAGUGACUCAAAUGUUUGCAUUUUGCUAUUCUCCAUUUCAGAUAUUUGGCCAUUCUGCGACAAAGCAUUGCAUAAGAUCAAAUGCGUUAACAGAAAUAACUGAGGCAUUAUUUUAAUCUCCUGACAAAACAUUCAUGUUUUUGUUCUCAAAAUUGUCCGGAUGCUUACAUAAUAUACCUUUUAGUCAUCUACUAUAACCGUCUUCGAUAUCUCGGCUGCAACUUCUUUCUAUAUAUAUUUUCUGCUAGUGGUUCUCCACCAUUCUAAUUAAGUUGAAUCAAAGUUUAUACAUUUUCAUUCAUUUGAUCGUUUCGAGGAUCUACAAGCAAUUCAGAGUGGGAUUUUACUUCCCUUUGGCAGAAGAAUGCUAGAAUCAAUUUCAUGUAUUGCUCGAAGCGGAUUUUAACAAAAUUAACCGUUCUCUUAAGUGCCUAUGAACCACAUAUCCAACAUAGUUCGCUGCAAUGAAUAAUGGAAUCCCUACCAUCUAAUUAACUAUCCAAGCAAUGCCUUUAAUGCAUAAGAGUAGUAAUAAGACAAUGGGUUAGUUUAGGAGCUGCUUUCACCUUUGCUCUGGCUGCUGUUUCAUCCAAAUAUACGCAUUCUGGUUUGAUACUUUUGGCUGCAGUUUCCUGCUUAAACUUUCCAAACCUUGGCUCUUCAUGAUAAUUUAUACUUGCAGCGCAUACAGGAGGCGCCAUAGGUUUCUCAGGGGUGACAAGUGAGCCGUUAAACUUAUUCUCCACCAGGCCUUUCUUUUCUUCAAGAGGAACAACACCGUGAAACGAGUCAAUUGUUCGUGUUCACCGAUUCUCCAUUAGAACAGGAUGCUCACUAUGCUGGUUAGAUGUUUGCCCAUGCUGCAGCAACAGAUUGCAUUAGAUAAAAUGAAUCAGAAGAAAUAACAGGCAUAAACGAAAUUUCAUAACAGCACUUCAAGACUCAGCAUGAGUAACGCAUCAUGGAAGUCCACUUUUCUUUUUCCGUAGAUAGAUUCUAUAAUGAACUUUCUGUUCUACAACGAUGAUUGAAAAAAAAAUUAUCCUUCUUUUUCAGAUAACAUGGAAAAGGGAAGUGCCCUUCCAAUGCAUUAUAAACCACUUUUACUCCUAAAUUUACAAGAAAAGUAAUCACAACAACCCAAUGAAAUUUUAAGGGAGAAAUUUUGACCCGUGUUUGCAUUUGGUCUCCAUCAAAGAAGUCGGCAUCAAAAAGAUCUGCAUUUAGCAUGUCACGAACAUAUUCAUCCUCUUCAGAAACAUCUGCAAUUAGCAUGUCCCCAGCAUCUCCAUCCUCUUCAGAAACAUCCUCUUCAGAAAGACCUGCAAUAAACAUGUCACCAGCAUCUUCAUCCUCGUCACUUGUUGUGAACCAACCAUUGUCCAAUGAGAAGUUUGCAAAAGGAUUCUCAGCAUUCAUAAACUGAUGUAUGUUGGAGGGGAAUCUAUUAUUUUGUGAUUGCAGUGCAGACUGAGGCAGCUGCAGGAGGUCAGGCAAAGCAAAUUGAACUUAGUUCUGGGGCAGAGACGAGACCUCCAUCAGUGACAUCAUCUUUGCUUGGAUCAAAUCCUGUAUUAACGAGCAAAAGAUUAGUCAUUAACACAUUUCCCAUGCUCGUUAAGACAGAUAUUAAGUACACGAACCAAACAUAUUUUCCUCCGCACCUCAGUAAACGAGUCCUCGUGAUCUGGUUGACGAAGAAUUGAAUCCAAAUUUUCUAGGCCACUGGCUUCGUACACUAAUUCCAUGGUUGAAUUAUCAGCCUUCUCAUCUCCUUUAUUCUUUAUGCGACACAGAACAUAGUUUCUAUUCAACUGUCAAAAGACCAUUUUAUACCAGUUCAUACCAUCAGAUCAUGUUUUCUUCAACAGUAAAAUUCUGCUCACAAAUUUGGCAAGAAUAAUAACAAUCUCUAUAUCUGUGUAAGAUGGCAAUCUCAUAUCGUAUAUUAUCAGGUUCAUGCAUCGUGUUAAUCUAAUUAAAUGGAAAAAACGUACAAGGGACAGAUUGAGUACAUUUUUUAUGAGUAGAUGAUAUUCAUGUAUGACCCAGUUGGUCUUGACGCCUUUAGAGCCCUGACGUGUAUGGAAAACUAAUGUUUUCUUAGUGCCGAUUUUGAUAUCUCUGGCCUUGACAUUCCGGUCUGGACCAGUCUUCUUCCAAUAGCCAGAGGGGGUCGAUCCUUUAACCUGUUGGGGUGUUUGCAGACAGUAGAACUACCACUCUUGUACUUUGUCAUCCGGACGAAUAAUUGAUUCACCUGUCAUUCCCUCGAAUUUUCACCGAUUGAUGAUAAAUAUUAUGACCCAAAAGCCCAUAAACUUGAGGUUCUAAAUUUCUGAAUAUCAUGGCUGCAAAGAAAUUGUAUCAAAGGAGCAAGCAAAGUCAUAGUGGUAUCUGUCCUCACCAUGAAACUUCUGUGGUAAUUCCCAAGGAUCCCACCUGUAGAUGUCAACAUCUGGAAUUAUGCAGGGAUCCUCUACGAUUCCUAAGACUCGGUUCGUCAAGUAAUGAUCGACGAAUUCCUCGUCAGUUGGAUGGAAUCUGUAUCCGAUGGGCAAAUUCUGUGGGAUGAUCACAACUCCCAUCUCCUUCCGUUCUGUUCUUCACUCAACACACAAGUUAGUAACGAACUCACUACAGUUUGUGGAAGCAGAAAAGUGAGCGUGAACCCAUUACCAUUUGGGAGGGUCUUUCUUGAAGUCUUCCCUUCUUUGGGAAGUUAACAACUUUUUGUAUGUGGAUGUCAGAAAAAUCUUGAUCGUGAUUGAUGGCUGAUGGGGAUGGUUUUUCGUCUGCUUUUUCUUGGGCUGAUGGAUCCCGUCACUAGAAUGGAACUAAUAUUACUUUCCCCUCGUACUGAAAUUUGCACUGUUUUCUCACAUGGCAAUGACAAUAUCCAGGAAAUUCUCGGGAUUUGCUCCUGUGACGAGUCCUUAGUGUCGCCUCUAAUUACAACUGGAGAUUUUUCUAUUCAUUUUACUAAGGUGUAGGUGCAUUGAAAAUUUUAAAACUUGUCAUGUAAAUGUAAUUUAAUCAUAAAAUUUUGAAAAAGUGUAAUUAAAUCCUAAAAUUUAUCAUGAAAGUGUAAUCGAGUCUUAAAACUUUUUUAAAAUUCAAUCAAGUCUUAAACUUAUCAAAAUGAUACAAUCAAGUCCUUAGAUUGAUUUCAUUUUUUAAAAAAAAUUUAGGACUUAAUUGCACUUUUUGAAAUAUUUAAUACUUGAUUGCACUUUCAUAAUAAAUUUUAGAACUUAAUUUGUACUUUUUAAAAGUUUUAGAACUCAAUCACACUUUUAUGACAAGUUUUAAGACUUUAGUACACUUUCUCUCUUUACCAAUAACAUAGUGGGAGUUUGAGUUAAAAUCAACCUGCUAAUGGUCAGUUAACAUAAGGGCUGUCCAUGCACAUGUGCAUCUUCUUUAAAUAACGAAGGUGCACUCUACCUGGUCUCUUUAUGUACCAAUGUACCUGUUGGUUUAUUACCAAUUAUUUUGUGUUAGCAAGUUGGGGUUAUUUGUGUAAUUGUACAAGGCUUAACUCUAAACCUAUAAUUGUACAAGUAUUAUUUCUUUUACCAACAACAUAAUAUCAGAGCAUGACAUUCCUACGUGAGAGAAGACAACAAGCUUCAGUUCUCCUGGUAAGCUGCACCAAGGCGUCAUUUUUGCUCUUUCUAUCCAAGGCAUCGUUUUUUUUUCUUUUUUUCGCCCCUUCUACUGCUGAUUGGUGAUGCCUCCAAUCGAGCAGCGCUGCUUCGUCUGCUGCACUACAAUGAUCUGCUCCUUUACCUUUGUUUCAUCAUUGACAACAAAGCUACUGUCCCAUUGACGUCAAUGCCUUAAAAAGCUAUUUUUCCUAAAUUGUUCCAUUGACGUCAACGCCCCCACUUCAGCCCGACGAUGUGUUUUGGUUGGUUUUGAGUUGUUAGUGGCGAUGUGAUAAUUAGAUCACAAAGUUGUGGUGAUUCGGGUGAGAUUCUUCUAUGUUUGUGGUGUUAUCAUUGUGGUUCCUAUCUAGUCAAAUGUGUUUAAUAUAGUCCACUAACAAUAAGUUUGAAAAGCAAAGGUUUCUUUGAAUCUCACCCUCUAGUGCUCUCAAUGGUGUUGUGGUAGCGUGUGGUGUUUUAUUCUUGGUUUGUGGAUAAGUCCACAGGUCAACAAGCUCUCCAUCUAUUGUUUCAGCGGUGAUUCCCCUAAUGUGACUUCUAGCUCAAGAUCUUUUGGUACCUAUUAUAGUGGUACUCAUGAUAUGACAGGCUUACACACUACCUUGGUUGAAGACCCAAUGGCUGCUUCCUCGUACAAUAAUCGCUUGAUAUCAAAUUGAGAAUAGUAAAGUGAAAAACAGAAUUAUUGAAUUUUUUUUAUAUAUUUUGAUAUAUGUUGAAAAACAAAACAUGAGCUUGUUUUUAAAAUAUACAGUUUCCUGAUGAUCCUUCUCUAACCUUGGUUCUUCAUCCCUCUGAACUUCGGUAUAAGAGGGAUUUUCAAUAAUCAAUGAGGCAGCCCAAUCAUCGCAUUCAGUUUGUCCGAGCGAAGAUUCCAGUUCGAUAGAUUUAUCAGGCUCUUCACCAUUCUGAACCUCGGCAUUGGAAAGAUCUGCAUUUGGCACUGCAUCAACCCAUUCAUCCUCUUUAGUUGUUCCAAGUGAAGAUUUCAAUUCAAUAGAUUUAUCAGUAAGACUGUUUUCUAGUGAGAAGUCCUUACCAUGCGAACUCCCAAUAUUCGUAGACUGAGGUAUGGAAAGUGAUUCUAGCUCACGGUGAAGCAGCUGCAUGAGGCGAGGCCAAGAAAUAGUGUGCAGUUCCAGUGAUAUCCCUUCAGGCUGUAUUUGCAAGUAAACGAUUAGUCACUAACCCACUCCACGCGCUCUGAUAUUGAGUGCAUAAACAGAGGAUUUAUUCCUCCACAUCUCAUCAUUAGAUUGAUUACACCAUUCCUCAGCUUCCAGUAGGGUGAAUAUCCCAUCCUCUGAUCUUGUCGUUGAAUUGUCAGCCUUUUCAUCUUGUUUGCGCAUUAAGUGACACAGAACAUUGUUUCCACUCUGCUGUCAAAAGACCGUGUUAUAUCAAUUCCCACCAUAGUUCUCAGAUUUACUUCAAAAGUAAGAAACUGCUCUCAAAUUCGGCAAAAAUAAUAUCAUUCUCUACAUAUGUGUAAGAUUCAAAUCUUCUGUAGCAGAAAUUGAGCACAAAAAUGUUUCUCUGCUUGUUUAGGACUAUUGGAAACUUUAAAAUCUAGUGUUUCUGCAGAUAAUUGUUGCUACACUUCUCAUGUGAUACGUCAUCAAAUUCAUGCAUCUUCUGAAUCUAAUUAAUUGCAAUGAAUAAAUGAGGUUUACAUUGGGAAAAUCUUGGGGGUAGAUGAUAUUCAUGGAUGAUCCAGUCCUUCUUGGCUUUGCCUUUAGGGAAGCUUAAUAUUUUCUUGAAACCUAUCUUUUUGCCGUUGAUGGUUUUAUUAUUAUUGUGAUGGGCCUAAGUUGGCCCGUCCGCCCAUGUUGGGCCUAAAAACCCGGCCCGCAAGAUUAGGGCCCAUGGAUGAAAGAGUACGUUAAGGGGUUGCGUCUUUUGGAUAAGAUGUUACGUUGAGGGUUGCGUCUUUUGGAGGAGAUGCUUUGAGGGAAAGGAAUAAAAGGCACGUACCUUUUGGAUGAACGUAUGUGAAGACACUCUCUCCCCUUCAGGCAACGUAAGUCAGUCUCUCUCUCUCUCCCUCAAAAAGAGAAAAGAAGAAAACAGAAAAGUAGAAUACGCUCUUUUCUCCCCCUAAUAGCAAUGGCACGCUCCUUGAUCGAACAUGAUCAGAAUUUCUUCCUUGAUCCUCAGCAUUGGUGUUUAAUCUGUGGCUAACAAAGUAUGCUCGAUUCCGUGGUGUGCUUUAGGAUCGGUGAUAUAUGUUCUUCCUAGGUUCGUCUUCCGCAUUCGUUUUAGGGGUUCGAUUUAGUGUCAACUCCGUUUUCGAGAAUCAGAUAUUCCCAACAUUGGUAUCAAAGCCAUAAUUCGUGUUCCCAACCCCUUUCAUGUUUAUGAAAGAUUUUUUAUUGAACUUUCGUAAAAAAUCGGCCGACAAUGAUAAGGGGCGGAAAAUCCUGACACCCGAUUCUGUUCGCCCCAUUUUUUGGUUUUCUGUAAGUCAAAAUUUUUUUCUAAAAGUGUAUGAUCAAAGCCCUCGUCGAGACGAGAAAAACGAGUGGUGGAUUGCCACCAGAGGCCGCCAGAUGCGCCGCCACGAUCGGCCGGAACGAACGGGGGCCAUCGGCGCAUGCAUUGCACAGGCCGAUUCGGUCCCCCACAGGCGCGUGCGACGCACGCGCCGUUUUGGCCGAAGGUGCGCGCUGCACAUGCGCGGAAGCCUGGCGCGUGCCGCGCAUGCAUCGGCUGACAUUUGCGUGACGUCAGCCCGCACACGCGCGCGACACGUGCCGGUCGGUUUGCCCGACCGGCCCGACCUGCCGCCCGUUGACUCCGACCGUUAAUCGUUCACCGUUGACCAAAAAAAAAGGAGGAAAAGAAUGUGUUUCUUUUUCCAAUUAAGUAUAUGUGGAUUAUAUGUGAUCCCUUAUUUGUUCUGCAUUUAUUGCAGAACAAUGUCUCCCCUUAGGUUGGGCACACCUGUUCGUGCAAUUACCGAUAAACAAAAGAAAAGGCUUUUUAAGUUGAUAGCUAAGCUGAUUGAUCAUAGGUUGGAGAGUAGUGACUUAAUUGAUCACAUUCUUGAAGUCAAUGGGAAAAUUCAAAAGGUCAUAUGGAAUGGUUGCCCCAUGCCACAAUCUGAGAUGGUGCGAUUUUUCAUAAACAUUCUUCCACAAGAAUGGCAAGGAGUGUUGAAUCGCAUAUGGAAUGUCAGCAGAGCCGCUUCAUAUAGGAAAAUUGUGAUAGAUUUUAUAGAUGAUUAUUACUGAAUUGUUACACUGAAAAAGAUCAAGAAAUUGAACAAAAGAUGAUCUUUCCCAGUUCGUGUAUUGACUUGGUGUUAGAUGCAUUGGCUGGUCUUUGCUUAGUGUGCUUUGUGGACAUCUCAUGUAAUGCUUUUCUACUUAGUUAUUAUUGGUGUGGCAACUGAUAUGUUAGUUAUAUUAUGUGAAAGCAUUAUUAUUCUAUUGGAUGUCAAAUAUUAUUUGUUUUUUGUUAUUGUUGAUUGAUAUGGGUAGUUUAUAGAAGUUUUUGUAACUUCAUAGAAUUUAUUUUGUAUAAGACAAUUAUAUUAAUGAUAGUUUUAAGUUAGGAUUUUUGGAGGAUGAUUGAAAACAUAGUGAUCUUUUAAUUCUGAAACCUUACUUGAAAUUGUUCAUUAAUAUGAUGGGUCUGUACAAAAUGGAUGCAUAAAUGAUAGGCAUUAAUAAUUCGUGCAAAUAUGUAUGAUAUGUUUAGAUCAAUGGCUUCAGCUAUAAAGAGCAUAGUUGUUGAGCUGAACAAAUGUGAAAAGCUCAAUGGCGACAACUAUGAAAUCUGGCACAUGAAAAUCCAAUAUGUGAUGGAAGAGUAAGAGGCACUAGAAGCUCUUAACCUGAUCAUGGUAGAACUUGAAGAAGGAAACACAGCACAGACAAGAGAGAUAAGGAAGCAUUUGUUGCAUGGAAAAGAAAGAACUCUCUUACUCGCAUUACAUUGCUGAGUAGCAUGGAAAAUGACGUUAUGCGAGAGUUUAGGCGUUUUGAAAAUGCCAAGGAAAUGUAGGAAGCAUUGGCAGCAAAAUUUGGUCAUACUUCGGUGACCAGACUAAGGCAGCUCACUAUUAAGUUUGACUCUUAUAAGAAGCCUCAUGGUCAGACUAUGAAGCAACAUCUUAGAAAGAUGUAAAACAUGAUUAAUGAGCUGAAAGAUGCUAACCAUGUCCUGACUGAUGAGUAGUAAGUGCAAGUAGUAAUUCAUUCCUUGCCUUAGAGUUGGGAGUAUAUGAAGGUGCACCUGACCCAUAAUGAGAAUAUUAAAACCUUUGAGGAUGUAAGGCGUCAUAUUGAGCUAGAAGAGGACCGCCUCUUAGAAGCUAAGCCGGAAGCUGAAAUUUAUCAUGCUGGUUCUAGCUCACAUGGAGCUUCGAGCUCCAAGCGUAAACGUCCUAAUUGGUUCGAUAAAGGGAAAGGUAAGGAAGUAGGUCAUUCAGGGAAGAAACCUAAGCUUAACCAACAUGAAAGAAGAAAGCGUCAUCGAAUGAAAAAGCUAACAAAGGUGAAGUGUUACAAUCGUGACAAGAAUGGUCACUAUGCUUGCGAUUGUUGCGAGCCAAAGAAGGUAUACACCCUUUGUGCUUUUAAAAACUUUGUCCAUGUAUCAAGUUCUGUAUUCUUGAUUGAAUCUAAUCCUUUGUGGACUGUAAAUUCAGGAGUGACGGACCAUGUAGCGAAGGAUAGAGGAUCCUUCGUGGAAUUCCGACGAGUACCAAUUGGAACUAAGUGGAUCUAUGUGGGAAACAACUCCAAAGUUGAAGUAAAAGGAAUUGACACCUGCCAACCGAAUAUGUGUGGUGGACGCACUUUGUUCCUACAUGAUGUAUUGUAUGCUCCAGAGAUUCGUCAGAAUUUAGUGUCUGUUUUAGUGUUGGUCAAGCUAGGUUUUAAUAUGAACUUCCAUAAUAGAGGUGUGGAUUUGUUUUUGGAUACAAAUUUCUAUGGUUGUGGUUAUUUUCUAGAUGGUUUCAUUGUGUUAGAUAUUGACUAUAUUAAUGCAAAUAUUUGUUAUUCCCUUCUCACAUCUCUUAAUUCAUAUGAUAAUGAUGUGAAUGUGUGGCAUGCUAGACUUGGUCAUAUUGGCCAACAACGUAUGAAUAGACUAGCCAAAGAGGACUUGUUGGGAAACAUUGAAAAAGUCGAUUUGCCCAUAUAUGAGCAUUGCCUAGUAGGGAAAACAACAAUGAAACCAUUUGGAAAAGGUAAAAGAGCUGAAUUUCCUAUGCAUAUAAUCCAUUCUGACGUCUGUGGUCCGAUGAAUGUGAAAGGAAUGCAUGGGGCUGUUUAUUUCAUCACUUUUAUAGAUGAUUAUACUCGAUUCGGAUAUGUCUAUUUGAUUUAUUAUAAAUCUGAAGCAUUAAGUUGUUUCAAAAGGUUUAUGAACUUGGUAGAAAAUCAACUAGACAAGAAAAUAAAAGCAUUAAGAUCCAAUCGAGAUCAAUAAUAUUUAUAUGAGGAGUUCAGAAAAUUAUGUGAUGAAAAAGGAAUAGAAAAACAGUUGUCUAUUCCAUAUACUCCUCAACAAAAUGGUGUUGCGAAGAGAAGAAACAGAAUUCUAUUGGAAAUUGUUAGGUCCAUGAUGAUGCAUGCUAACUUACCUAUCAUUUUUUGAAGUGAUGCGUUGUUAACUGCUGCCUAUAUACUUAAUCAGGUGCCUUCCAAAUCAGUUACUUUCACUUCAUAUGAGUUAUGGACAGCUAGAAAAUCGGACUUAAGUUUUCUUAGGUCAUGGGGUUGUGUUGCCUAUACUCAUGAGCCCUUUCACAAGUUUGGGAAAUUGGGUCCUAAAGGAAAGAAAAAUAUUUUCAUAAGAUACUCCGAACACUCGAAAUGGUAUGUGUCCAUAGGUGAGCAGGAAAGUGGGAGUAUAACUGAAUUUGAAUCACGGGAUGUCACAUUCUUAGAUGAUGAAUUUCCUAAGAAUGACGAAAUAGGGGAAGAUUACUCCCUAUUUGAAACCUUGAAUCAAGAUAAUGAUAUUAGUAGAGUUCAUCCAAGUGGGAGUAAUAUGAGAAAUGAUGAAUUGAAUUCAACUCAUUCUCAAUUACAACCACAUGAUGAUACGACAUCAUCAUUAUAUAAUCCUAGUGGGAGCAUAAUGGGAAAUAAUGUGCAAAGUGUACAAUCUUCCACACACGCAAACAAAUCGCAAAAUAGACCUAGCCGACGUNNNNNNNNNNNNNNNNNNNNNNNNNNNNNNNNNNNNNNNNNNNNNNNNNNNNNNNNNNNNNNNNNNNNNNNNNNNNNNNNNNNNNNNNNNNNNNNNNNNNNNNNNNNNNNNNNNNNNNNNNNNNNNNNNNNNNNNNNNNNNNNNNNNNNNNNNNNNNNNNNNNNNNNNNNNNNNNNNNNNNNNNNNNNNNNNNNNNNNNNNNUCAAAAUAAAGCGAAAAGCUGAUGGUUCGAUAGAAAGGCAUAAGGCUCGCCUUGUGGUGAAAUGAUAUAAUCAAUAGGAAGGAAUUGAUUAUGAAGAACCAUUUUCUCUUGUAGUGAGAUUUAUCUCGAUUCACAUUACUCUAGUAAUAGUGGCUAGUAUGGAUCUUGAGUUACAUCAAAUGGAUGUAAAGAUUGCUUUCUUCAAUGGAGAAUUAGAUGAAGAAAUAUAUAUGGAACAACAUGUUGGUUUCAUUAAAGAAGGUCAAGAAGGAAAGGUAUGUCGACUUUUGAGAUCGAUAUAUGGCCUUAAGCAGUCAUUGAGACAAUGGUAUAUACAUUUUCAUAAUGCCAUAAUGGCAUAUGAUUUUACAAUGAGAGAUGAGGAUCAUUGUGUAUAUAUCAAAAGAUCCAAAGAUCAAUUUGUGAUCAUAUCAUUAUAUGUUGAUGAUAUACUAAUUGCCGGAAGCAAUAGGGAGUUUGUAAAUAUUGUGAAGAGUUGGUUUUCUUCCAACUUUGAGAUGAAAGAUAUGAGUGAGACUGCAUACAUUUUUGGAGUUAAAAUUUCAAGAGAUCGUUCGAAGAUAUCGUUAUCUCUUUUGCAAGAAACAUAUAAAUAAGGUUUUUGAACGAUUUUGUAUGCAAGAUUGUAAACCCAUAGACACUCCUAUUGCAAAAGGUGAAUGAUUGAGCCAUAAACUGUGUCCAAGGACUCUAUGAGAGAAGGAACAAAUGAAACAUGUUCCUUAUACUAGUGCUGUUGGAAGCUUGAUGUACGCUAUGAUGGGUAAAGACUUGACAUAUGUUUUGCAAUUGGAAUGGUGAGUAGAUACCAAUCCAAUCCAAAUUAAGCACAUUGGAAAGCCAUUAAGAGAAUACUGAGGCAUCUGAAGGGAACUGCUGAUUACAAACUAAUUUACUAAGGAAAGGAUCUGCGACUUGAAGGCUAUUCAGAUGCUGAUUAGGGAGGAGAUUUAGAUGAAAGAAAAUCUACCUCUGGAUUUGCUUUCUUAUUGAACAAUGGCGCCAUAUCAUGGAGCAGUAAGAAGCAAACAUGUAUAGCCUUGUCCAUGAUGGAAGCUGAGUUCGUGGCAUUAUCAGCAGCGGUACAAGAAAGAAUUUGGCUUAAUAGAUUUUUGGAUUAUUUAGGUGUUAUUGAGAAAGCUACAAAUAUAUUAUUUGUUAAUUGUGAUAGUAAAGCAGCUAUAGCGUACACCAAAGAUCUAAAAUAUCAUGGCAAGACCAAACAUAUAGGCUCCGUUCAUUUAGCGGAAAAUAUCAUGUUUCCGGAAAACAUUUUCCUGGAAGUCAUUUUCCAGGAAAAUAACUCUAUUUUCCGGUGUUUAGCCAAAAUCUAAAAUUUGAGUGGAAAAUAUUUUCCACCGUUCGUUAGCUCAUUUAAUUGUUUGGGAAAAAUUAUCAAAAAUUGAAUUUUAAUAUUUUUAAUUGACAAAAUAAUUAUUUUAUUUAUUUAUAUUUUUAAAUGAUUUUUUUAAUUAUUUAUAUUUUUAAAAAUCGAAAUUUUUAUUAUUUAUUAUUUCUUUUUCUUUUCCUUCCUCCUUCCUCUGCCGUCGCCUCCUUCCUCCUCCUUCUUCCUCCUCUUUCCGCCGCUACCACCUCCACCUCCUUCCUGCCUGAUGAUGGCCAGCUGCCCAGCGGCCGACCAAGACCUAGUGGCCAGAUCCGGCGAGCUCAAGGCUCAGCCGAUCUCACCUGAGCUCGCCGAAUUCGGCGACAAAGCUUGAGCUCGCCUUGAUCGGGAGUCCGAGCUCUGCUGCCAGAUCCGGCGAGCCACGAGCUCAAGGCUCGGCCGAUCUCACCCGAGCUCUCCGGAUCUGGCGACAAAGCUCGAGUUUUCUUGGAUCGGGAGCUUGAGCUCUGCCGCUAGAUCCGGCGAGCCGCGAGCUUCGCCGCCUAGAUUCGACGAGCUCACGGCUCGCCAGAGCUUGGUGAAAAACGACAACCUUGGCAAGAAAAAUCCAAAUGCACCGCACGACGAGUGGCCUAGACGGGGGGCUUCCCUGCGAGCCUCCCGGCAUCGCCGCGGUGCUCCCUCUUGAGCCGGAUCUUCCCGAGCGGCUUCGAGCCGCCGGGGAAGCGGAGUGCGACGGUGGUAGCGGAGCGCGACGGUGGUGGCGACGCCCGGCCGAAGCAGGUCGGCAGGAGCGGCCGGGGAAGGCGGAGGCUGAUCCCGGAGAAGGACGUCGUCAAGCCAUUGCAACAGGGAGAGCAAGAAAGAGAGGUCGGGAAAAUGAUUUCCUCUUUUCAAAAGAGGAAAUCAUUUUCCACAAUGUCAAGAGAGGAUUUUCCGUUGAUCGGAAAAUGUUUUCCUUGACCGUGUAUUUUCCGUCCACCUGAACACCGGAAAUUUCAGAAAAUAUUUUCCUAGAAGUUGUUUUUCGCGAAACAAACGGAGCAAUAGAUACUAAGUAUAACUUUGUCAAAGAUAUGGUUGCACGAAAGAAUGUGAAUUUACAGUACAUAUCUACGUAUAGAAUGGUAGCAGAUCCUAUGACAAAGCCAAUACCUAGAGAUGUAUUUUGUGGUCAUAUAAAAUCUCUAGGAUUGCGUAGAGUCUAAUGUACUAGAUAUCGUAAUUUCCCUAAGUUGUUCACAUUAAUGAACUUGUGUUUUUCAUUAUUAAUGCCUAUAAAUCUUUGUUUAAUCUUUAUGCAUCUUAAUGCUCAGUGCAUUACUUUAAGUUGAUAAAGUAUGUCGGACAGAUAUAAGAUUAGCCCACUCACAUGGGUAAUCGCGUCUAUUUACUAUGUGAUAAAUAGAGAUGAGACGGUUUUUAAGCUUAUUAUCUAAGUGAUAAUCGAGAGUUCAAGCUUAAAAUAUAUUUGUCGCCUUAACUGGGUGUUAAGAUGAGGACAUAAUAUUUACUAUGUCUGAAGGUAAAAUAACUCACAUAUUUUACUUUAUCUGUCUAUGAUGCCAAAUGUGAGUUCUGAUGAAUUUUGUGAAUGAGUAGAUACGUGAACUCAAGUUAGACAUUAGGUAUGUCUGAACCAUCAUCUGUACGGUAUUGAAAGUGUAGACAUACGCUCCAUGGAAAAUGAGUUAAUACCGUAAUACUUAUUUCAUACUACUUAUGCAUGAGACGACCAAUAAGAGCGGUAAAAGUUUGAUCUCAACUUUUAUGCUGUGUGAGACUCUUGAGGAAAAGAGUUCCUCAAUUUGAAUGCCCUCAUGACUCUUACUUAUUCUCAAGAUUGCUAUUUAGUGUUUGCUAUCUUAAGAUGUUGUCAAUGGUCAUGAGUUGAUUUGAUCUAAUGAGACAUUUCUAGAAAAGCAAACUAAACUGAAAUUGAGAGUUUGAAAGAAAGAGGAAGAUCAAAUUUGGAGAAUCACUAGUUUUGUAUUCAUUGGUCGACUAAUUAUGAUUGUCUUUGGGAUAAUCAUAAUUGUGAAAAUAAUAAAUAUAUAUCAUUGUUUAAAAGAGAUUAAGAGUGAUAUAAAUGUGAUCGAUCGAUCUAGUGUACUGCAUACUAAAUCUAAUUAGAGUGUGAUGCCCAUUAUGAGCUGUUAUAUAUUUGUAAUAGAUGUAUGGUAACGAGCUCUCAAAGUAUGCUAAUCACACGGAUUCUUCACUGGUAUAAAUGUUAAAGAGAAGUAAAGAGGAUCCUGUUCAGCCCACCAUGUGCGAGUGGGAGAUGAUGGUUUUAUUAUUAUUGUGAUGGACCUAAGUUGGCCCGUCCGCCAAUGUUAGGCCUAAGAACCCGACCCGCAAGAUUAUGGCCCAUGGAUGAAGAGUGCGUUAAGGGGUUGCAUCUUUUGGAUGAGAUGUUACAUUGAGGGGUUGUGUCUUUUGGAGGAGACGCUUUGAGGGAAAGGAAUAAAAGGCACAUACCUUUUGGAUGAACGUACGUGAAGACACUCUCUCCCCUUCAGGCAACGUAAGUCAGUCUCUCUCUCUCCCUCAAAAAGAGAAAAGAAGAAAACAGAAAAGUAGAAUACGCUCUUUUCUCCCCCUAAUAGCAACGGCACGCUCCUUGAUCGAAUGGGAUCAGAAUUUCUUCCUCGAUCUUCAGCAUUGGUGUUUCAUCUGUGGCUAAUAAGGUACGCUCAAUUCCGUGGUGUACUUUAGGAUCGGUGAUAGAUGUUCUUCCUAGGUUCGUCUUCCGCAUUCGUUUUAAGGGUUCAAUUUAGUGUCGAAUCCAUUUUCGGGAAUCAGAUAUUCCCAAUAGCCGUCAAUUGUAAUAUCUCUAGUUUUACUAGUGAUACCCCCAAGAAGAACCGCAUGGUGUUUUCUUGGGAAUCCGGGCUUCGGCGUCUAUGGACAGAUGAACCACCAUUCUCGAUCAUUGGACGGAAUGAUCGAAUUCUCUGCAAUGACAUUUAAGAAACUCACUUUGAGUCAUGAGUAAGGGGGCUAUUGCUCUCUUCCCGAGUCUCUCUCUUUGAAGUUGCGAACGACUCACCCGUGAACUUCGCAGGUAAAUCCUCUGGAUUGAAGUCGGUGAUGUUUUCCAGUUUCGGAAUGAUGCAGAAAUCUUCUGUGCUUCCGGGUUUCUCCGACUUCAAGUGAUUAAUCAGCUGCCGCUCGGUUGGACUGAACCGGAAACCGUCUAUUGCCUGCUGAAAUAGCAGCAGGGCAUUUUGGUGAUCUUGCGAGCCUCGUUGCUACUUUGGCGGAGCACAAUGGUCCUACUUGUCUCUUGUCCGCUAUAGCUACUCCUCAUCCUUGAAUUAUUGAUUUGGGUAACACUCAUCAUAUGACUGGUGUUCCGUGUCUUCUUAAUUUCACCUCAUUUGUUCCAUCCACUUUAAUCACUUUGGCAGAUGGUUCUCAGUCCAAGGUGAAAGGUUCAGGUUGCGCAUCAUUGACUUCUUCCGUGUCCUUACUGAUUGUUUACCUUAUUUCAUGCUUCCCUCAUAAUCUAUUAUUUGUCAGCUCCAUUACCUGUGAUCUUGACUAUGCUAUUAUCUUUCCUUUUGCUUUGUGUGUUUUUAAGGAUCGGAAGACUGACGUCGAAUAGGUGCUAGGCGUAAGGCUAGUGGAUUGUACCUUCUGGACCUUGAGAUUAUUGUUGCUGCCACUAUUGUCGCCUUGGCACCCCUCAACAGAUGUACUUUGACAUUUUCCUUUUAAUCACCCCCCCUCCCCGAAAUUUUUUUUAAGUAGUGCGUCUUAGCCAUUCGAGUUAGCGCACUCCAAUUUUUGGAGUCCUGGUCAAGAAUAUUCGUUUGGUUUAUGCUAUUUUGUCACUUUUAUUGAUGAUUGUAGUUGCACAACUUGGCUAUACUUUUUUUGGGUAAAGAUGAUACUGAAAUGUUUCAUUCUUUCCGCCUUUGUAUAUCAAGGUUACCUUUCUCAGGUAAGAGGUGUAACUAUAGUGUUAUUGGGUCUAUCAAAUUCAAUAUUGGCAAUGCAUUCAUUACUAAAAACCAAAUAGGAUUUUGGAAGUAUUAUGGACUUGAACUUUUCUUCUAGGAAAUAAUGUACCUAUUGUGGAGUUAGCUAAGACCAAUCAAUCUCUUAGUGAUGACAAAAUUACAUGCCCUACAUUAAUAUUCUUCUUAAGUGCCGGAGUCUUGCGUCAUCAUUAUUGUCCUUUUGCUUUUCUCGAAGGAUGGUCCCAUAUGCUUAAUCUAAUGGAACUUCACAACUCGAGUAUUAGUUCUUGGAAAAAAGUAUACUGAAAAUCCUAAAAUUGAUUAAGAAAAAAUGAUUGAAUUUUAAAACUUUUAAAAAGUGCAAUUAAAUCUCAAAGCUUAUCAUGAAAAUGUAAUUGAAUCUUAAAACUUUCAAAAAAUAUAAUCAUGUCACAAAAAUUCAAUUGGGUCCUCAAAAUUGUAAAAAAUGUGAUAAAAUCCUAAAAUUUGUUAGCAUUUUCCAUUUAUCAAGUCAAACAUCAAAGCUAAGUUCACACAAUUAUCCAAAUUAGGCUAAAUUUAGAGGCAUUUGGGAACCAUAAACGUGUGAGACAAGGUUAAUGUGUAUAUUGAAAUGUCUUAUGUAUGGCUAACUCUUAUUUGGGAAUUAUCGGUUGUGUUAAUGGUAAGGGCAUGCAAAUUGAAUGAUUUUGACUAAAAGAAAUAGAAAUUUGAAGUUAUAUGAUUGUAGAAGGUGGAGUAAAGAAAGCAUGAUUCAGAAAUAAAUGAAGCAACCGACAUAAUAGAAGGAACAGAGGACUUAGAAAUACUACACUCUCAGAGAAUGAAAUGAGGAUCCUCUAAUGAGAGAGUGACAGACAAUCUAAUGGGAGAAGCCUUGUUGAUAGAAGUGGCAGCAAAUGAACUUGCACGUGGAACACAAUUUCGCAGUUGAUUUGCCUUCCUUAUAAGUUGCUUAAGUUGUAGUUGAUGACAAUUAGAUAUCGAAACUUCUUAUUUAUCCAAACUUGCAUUUUAUCAGUGUGGACAUAGUUGAUUGGACAACAAAUGCUAACUCAAUCUAGUACUUGGCGAGCCAAUAUUGAGAAAAUAAUGCCCACAAAUGGAAUCAACACGUUGAAGUACCUUGGAAACCAAUCUAUGAUCGCCAAGAACUAGUAGAAAAGUGCCUUGGAACCGAUCGGACCGGAUUGACUAAACAGGUCAAUAGUCAACAAUCGAUUGAUGGUCAAUGGUCAGCUACGGAUGUGGCGAGAUGACACGACUGGAACGUGCACGUGGAUGGCACGUGAGUGACAUCAGAGCGGCAAGCACUUUUGGCACGUGUAUUGCGUGGAUUUCAACUGCAAUGGUGCCUGAUGGCGGGUGUGGGCUUGUGUGGCGUAGUUUGGCGGUAUGGUUUCCGGCGGUGGACUCGUCGUAGGAUAAAAAGGUCGAUGAUGUUGUUUAUUUGCUGAACAAGCCACCAAUAGAGUUGGAGCAGCACUCAAAAGUGUCAGCUUAUCGGAGGCGCUUGACUCUUACUCAAAGUAAUAGGGUGGCACAAGAUAAUUAAUGCGAAAUCACUAAAGAAAUAAACGAUGAAUAAUAAAGGACAUAAGAUAUUUUUGUAAUUUAGUCUGAGUAUCGAUACCUGCAUCUACAAAGAGAGUUAGUAUAAAAUAAUCUAUUAUAAUCGAAAAAUUAGAGUUACAAUUACUCUUACGCUUAAGUGUUUGCACAAUUAAAUUAAGCAUAAAUCCAAAAUAUUUAUAAAUGAACAAUUCAAUUGAAUAUAAAACACAUGAAAACAAAUCACUAUAGCUACAUUUCGUCGUCCGAGCAUUUUUGUUUGAUAGGAUAAUAUCAAAUAGGAUAAGUGUAGGUUAUGAUUUUAAAUAUCCUAUCCAAUGUUUGUUGACUUUUGGAUAUAUAUGGAUUCAAAUAAAUAUCAUCCAAAUAAAUAUUUGAUUUGCAUAAUUAAAAUUAAAAAUAAACCAUGGACAUAAAACAAACCCUCUUCCUCAUGAAGUAGAGGAGGAGGCCAUAAGCAGAGGAGGCCGUUGUUGCUCAACUCAGCUUCCAGCCUUCCACAGAGAAAGCAAUACUCUAAAAAUAGGCAGAAAAAUUGCUGAGAAGUGAGGUGAACCCAAAAUCUCAGGCAAUGCCUAAGCUCUUUGCCUACUUUCUAUUUUGCCCGGCUUUUCUCAAUUUCUAUAUCUCCAUGAGCAACUGUGAAGAGGUGGCUCGGCCAUGGAUGGCCCAACGACUAUGAGCCGCCGUGACUAGAUAGUGGCUCAACCAUGGACCCUCACUCUAAAUCUCGCCUCGUCGAUCAUGAACCAAUGGCAUCACUAAUCAGAUCUCCUCAGCUUUGUCUUCCCGAGGUCACCAUGUGUAGAGAUUGGGUUUACAAUAUAUACAUAGGGUUUAGGGCUGACAAUGACAAUUAUGCCCUUUGGGAGUGGUGAUUCUUGGAGCCCGUCUCUCACGUCUCUCUUUGGCCUUCUCGCUUGAACCAACAAUCACAGAAACUGCGACAAUGUCUACCUUCUUUGCCUCGGGAACUAGCCCACGAAGCGCGUCGAGAUGCGCACUGAUCCUCACUCUCCGCCAUCUCUCCGUCUCACUGUAAUUCUUCAGGGCACCAAUUGACCCCCUUGGCGCCGUUUUCCUCUUGUCGCUCACGGAGGCCUCGCCGUUUUCCUCUUGGCGCUCACCGAUUUGGAAGUUCAAUUUGAUCCUCGCUAAUCCCCUUGCCCCCGACGAAAGCCCCAACACAGACGGGAUCCACAUAGGCGACUCGUCCCGCAUCAAAAUCACUUACUCCAAGAUCAAGGUUCAGUGGACAGCAAGAACUUCCACUUCAACGUCUUCUCCUGCUACGAUCUCAAGUUCUGGCGCAUGCGAAUGAUUCCCCCCUGAUUUGGAAGUCCCCCUAAUUCCACAGAUUUGGAAGUCCUCAGGAAUGUUAAUCCCAGAGUUGAGAUCAUCGCUCAAGACCUCAUCCGAGUCGUUCAUUCUCUGACUUUUUGGCCGCAAGUAAUCAUGGCAACCGAGUCUCAAAAUUCUUCAGCCACCGUUCCCACACAUGAGCAAGUGGGCAGCCCUUUUUUUUUUGCAUCAUUCUAAUAACCCAGGAUCUAAUCUCAUUGGAAUGGUCCUUACAGUUGACAAUUACAACAAUUGGUCUUGUGCAAUGGAGAUUGCCCUUUCCGCCAAGAACAAGAUGAUGUUUGUUACUGGAGAAAUAAAAAAGCCAGUUGCAACAGAUCCUACCUAUGCAUCUUGGAUUCAUGUGAACAAUAUGAUUUUAUCUUGGAUUCUUAAUUUCAUCAAUCCAUAUUUGGUGCCAAUAGUUCUCUACACAGAGUUAGUUGCGGAUGUUUGGGCUGAUCUUCAUGAACGUUUUUCGCUAUCAAAUGGUCCUCGGAUUUUUCAUCUCGAGCAAAAGAUAUGCACCCUUGCUCAAUGUGACGAUGUUGUGACUAAGUACUACAACAAUUUGCGAAGCUGCUGGGAUGAAUUGAAUAAUUUGGAUCCGUUACCGCAAUGCUCUUGUUCGGCUCAUUCUAUCAUCACCACACAACAAGAGAAUCAGGGCUUGUCUCAAUUUCUCAUGGGUCUCAAUCUAAGGUACGCUAAUGUUAUUAGUCAGAUUUUACUAAUGAAUCCGUUACCUAGUGUUGCACGUGCAUAUGCGCUAGUUCUUCAAAAUGAAUCACAUCGCCAUAUCCAAUUGGACCGUCCACAAUCUGACCAAGCCAGCACUUUGCUUAGCACUCAUGAAAAUAAUGCUCCACGGUUGUACACAAAUUCCUCAUACCAUGGACAGCCCAGCUCUCUUGGUGCCCCCGCUCCGUCCGUUAACCUAGCUAAAUGGACGAACACGUCUUGCAGCCGAGAAAGAUGUGCCCACUGUGGCAUCCCAGGACAUACACGAGAUGUGUGUUAUUGACUUCAUGGCUUCCCUCCUAACAACAAGCAAUGCCGUGGACAGCCAUCUACUUCCUCUCGACUCGCAGAUAACAAGUCCAGUCAUACUUCUGAUGCGGCACCUCCACCAUUCACAAAUGAUCAGUAUAAGCAAUUGAUGCACUUGUUGCAAGAGGUAAACAUCCCAAAAGCCAACCUCUCAAGUAAUGUUCUCGGCUUAACUUCAAAUUCAUUUGAUUCCAAUACUUGGGUCAUUGACACUAGCGCCACAAAUCACAUCACAUUUGAACCCCAUUACCUUACAAACCCGACACACUAUUCCUCUCCACAUCCCAUCAUUGGAAUUCCAAAUGGUGUUGGUGUCCUCAUGACAUCACAUGGUUCAGCCCACCUUACCUCAACCUCCAAACUCACUCAAACUUUAAACUGCUCAAUCAUUUUCUUUCCUAACUACUGACUUUUUCAAGACCUCUUGACGAAGAAGAUCAUUGGUCGGGGCCAUGAGCGUGGUGGUCUCUAUUAUUUGGAGAUUUCUACCGAACCUGCCGUUCUUUCUACUACAACCUCUUCAUCUCAUCUUUGGCACACCUGCUUAGGACAUCCAUCUGAGUCAGUUUUAUCUACUUUGCAACAAACUUUAUGUUUUAGUUCAGCAAAACAAUUCAAUCCAUGUGAUGCUUGUCAUUUAUCCAAGCAAAUGUGUCUGUGUUUUGCAUCUAGCACUAUUACUACUUCACGUCCUUUUGAGCUUAUUCGCGUUGACAUUUGGGGACUUUAUUCUCAUUUUACACAAAAAACAUGUCGUUAUUUUUUUAUCUAUUGUUGAUGACUAUUCGCGCUAUACUUGGAUUUUUUUGCUUACUUUUAAGUUUGAUGCAAUUGACUCUAUGAUUCGCUUCUUUACUUUUGUUGAAACUCAAUAUCAAACCAAAGUCCAAAAUGUUCAAUCUGAUAACGAGACUCAAUUCCUUUCCUCUCGCUUACAAGAUUUUUUUUGCACACACGGUGUUCACCACCAACGUAGUUGCCCUCACACUUCUCAACAAAACGGAGUUGUUGAACGUAAGCAUUGUCACUUGCUCGAUGUUGCUCGUGCAUUGCGUUUUCGUUCUAGCAUACCUCUUCACUUUUGGGGGGAUUGUGUUUUAACUGCUACUCAUCUCAUUAAUAGACUACCUAGUCCUCUCCUACACAAUAAAACCCCAUAUGAACUUCUUUAUGGCAAACUACCUUCCUAUUCUCAUCUCUGUGUCUUUGGCUCAUUAUGCUAUGCUUCCACCGAUCAUCUUCACUCCAAUAAAUUUGGUCCCCAAUCUCACCAAUGUGUUCUAAUUGGUUAUUCCACAAAUCACAAAGGUUACCGUCUUUAUGACCCUCAAGACCAAAAAAAUUUUACCAGUCGCGACGUCAUUUUCUAUGAAUAAGAUUUUCCUUUCCAUCAAACCAUCAAACAUACCACAACCGAACCAACCUUAGUACUUCCACUACCCAUGCCUAACCUUGGUGAAACGUACCCACCUCCCUCAACCCCAGUCCUUGCACCGACCUCAACUCCUCAACCUGUUGCGUCCACGAUCGCACCAUCACCAACUGAACCCGAAGCCAUGCCUCGGCCAUCUCGGCAAUGCCAUCCACCCGGAUAUCUUCGAGACUACCACUGCACUAUUGUGGCCUCCGAUCAAUCCUCCUUAGACUCUAAGGUAACUGAAUCAGGUACUCUUCACCCUUUAUCCAACUAUUUAUCAUACUUACGUUUUUCACCCACUCACCGUGCCUUUUUAGCCUCCAUAUCCUCUUAAUAGGAACCUAAAACUUAUGACGCUGCGUGUCAAUCUCCCAAGUGGCGGGAGGCAAUGUCUUCUAAAAUACAAGCUCUUGAACAAAAUGACACUUGGGAAAUUGUUCAUCUUCCUCCUAACAAACAUCCUAUUGGAUGUAAAUGGGUUUACCGAAUCAAAUGUAAUUCUGAUGGCAACAUUGAGCAUUAUAAGGCUCGGCUCGUUGCAAAGGGUUACACUCAAACAAAGGGGAUUGAUUACCAUGACACAUUUGAGCCUGUUGCUAAAAUGGUAAUUGUUCGCACUUUAUUAGCUCUUGCUUCAAUUCGUCAUUGGCCUCUCUACCAAUUAGAUGUGAAUAAUGCUUUUCUGCAUGGUGAUCUUGACGAAGAGGUCUAUAUGAGGUUUCCACCGGGUUUUCAUACUAAGGGGGAGAAUUCAAUUUGUCGACUUAAGAAAUCACUCUAUAGCCUUAAACAUUCAUCAAGGCAAUGGUUUGCUAAAUUCUCUUCUGGACUACUUGAUGUUGGUUUUCAACAGUCAAAGGCGGACUAUUUAGGGUGCGUUUGUUUGCGUUUCUAUUUAAAAAUUGUUCCAGGGAACAAAAAUAGAAAAAAGUGUUUCUGUUCCGGGGAACAAUUUUUGAACAAAAAAACGCGUUUAGUAAACUUGUUCCGGGAAUAAAAAAUAAACAGAAACACAUUUGGUAAAUUUGUAUAAUUUUUUUUAUUUCUUUUAUUUUUUCUAUUUUUUUUCUAUUUUUUCCUUUUUUUUCUUUUUCCUUUUUUCUUUUUUCUUCUUUUGGCCGGUUGCCGGCCUCGGCCAUGGUCGGCGACCGGCCGGCAAGGGCCGGCGGCCUCGCCCAGCCACGGUGAGGCUCGCCGGCCCCCGGCGAGGCUGAGCCUUGCCGUAGCUGGGCGAGGGUCAGCCUCGCCUUGAUCUAGCGAGGUCGAGCUCGCCCAGCGGCGGGCGAGGCGUGGCCUCGCCGGGCCACUGCCAAGCGACGUCGACUCGCCCAGAUCCGGCGAGGCCAACCUCGCCCAGCGGCCGACGAGCCUCGGCCUCGCCGGAUCUGGGCGAGCUCGAGCUCGCCCAGCAAAGGCGAGGCCACCGGCCCUCGUCGGCCGGUCGCCGGCCAUGGCCAAGGCCGGCGACCGGCCAAAAGAAAAAAGAAUAAGAAAAUAAGAGAAAAAAGAAAAAAGAAAAAAAGGAAAGUGUUUCUCAAAUGUGUUUCAGAAAUAAGAAACACAAAUUUUGUGUUUCUUAUUUCUGUUUCUUUUUUGUUCCUGGGAACAAAAGAACAAAAAAGGAACAGAAACGCGUCCAAACGCGUUUCUGUUCCUUUUUUAUUCCCAGGAACAAAAAAACAGAAAAAGUGUUUAAAAACAAAAAAAAAAAGAAACACAAACAAACGGGGCCUUACUUUUUACAUUAGUCCGUGGCUCUCUCUUGACCAUUAUCCUUGUUUAUGUUGAUGAUUUGGUUAUAAUGGGCGAUGAUGAAGUUAUGAUUCAACUUCUCAAGCGAUUUCUCGACACACAAUUUCGUAUUAAGGACUUUGGCACUCCCAAAUAUUUCUUGGGCAUUGAAGUUUCUUGCUCCAAGUCUGGGAUUUUCUUGUCACAAAGGAAAUAUGCUCUUGAUAUUUUAUCUGACAUUGGUCUUCUUGGUGGACAUCCUAUUGAUACUCCGAUGGAACCCAAUAUACAAUUUUCGGAGUCCUCUCCAACUCUUAAGGAUCCAAGUUCAUAUAGACGACUUAUUGGUAAAUUAUUAUAUCUUACAGUAACUCGUCUAGAUUUACUCUUUGUAGUGCAACAUCUUAGUCAAUUUAUGCACUCUCCUCAUGAAGACCAUUGGAAUGCUGCCCUUCGCAUUGUGCGGUAUCUCAAGCAUGAUCCUGGCAGUGGUUUAUUUUUCCCAUCUGAUUCAACUCUCCAACUUAAUGGUUAUACAGAUUCUGAUUGGGCAUCAUGUUCUACAUCUCGAUGAUCUAUUUCUGGCUACUGCAUGUUUCUUGGUUCUUCUCCUAUCUCAUGGCGUUCCAAAAAACAAAUGACUAUUGCCUGUACCUUAGCAGAAGCCGAAUAUCAUGCUAUGGCGUCUACCGCAUGCGAAAUCACAUGGCUUCACAUGCUUCUCUCGAAUCUCCAUGUCAACACUACUACUGCCAAUCUUUUCUAUAAUAAUAAAGCGGCCAUCCAUAUCGCCACUAAUCCUGUCUUCCAUGAACGAACCAAACACAUCGAGAUCAAUUGUCACUUGGUUCGUGAAAAAAUUCAAGAUGGCACUUUGUGUACUCUUUAUGUUCCCAGUCACUCCCAACUCGCGGACUUGUUCAUGAAACCGAUCACACGUGAUUUAUUUUGUAAUUUUAGGAACAAGUUGUUGACAUGUUUACAUUCACCAACUUGAGGGGAAGUAUUGGGAAAUUGUGUUUAUACCAAAUGGCAUAUGUCAUUGUCAGCCGUAAACCCUAUAUAUAUAUUCGCUCAAUCUCUACACCAUGGCUUCAGCUAGAUCUGAACUGUAGCAACGAAGGGAGAAGAGGAGAAAGAGAAAAUUUUUAUUUUUUAAAUUUCACAUAUUUUAUCAGGUAUAUCCCAUCAUCUAGAUGGAAUUUUUUUAUUAAGAUUAUAUUCAAGCUAAAUGUAGAUUUCGCGUCACUCUCGAUAUCAGAUAAAAAGAAAAGUUAUCCUAUCCGAAUUUUUGUCUGACCUACUAAAUAUAGCCCAGAUGUUUAAGCCCAAGCAGAAGGAGAAGCCCUACGUACGGCUUCUUCAAGAAACUUUCUGUGCGUUUCCUUUCGCUCUUUUGUUUUUUUUGUUUUUUUUCUCUGUGCUUUUCCUUUUGCUCCUCACUUCGUGCAGCUCCCAAAAACAAAAGCUGCUGCACGGCCUUCAAAGAUAACAAAUAUAUAUAUAUAUAGAUAUAUAUAUAUAUAUAUAUAUAUAUAUGGCCUCCGAAGAUAAUAUAUAUCCCUUUUCACGGUCAAAACCCUCAUGCCCCAAAGACCACGGAGCAUCAACUUCCCUACUAUAAUUCAAUUCUUUUCUGACGCACAUGCUGGACUCCGCAAACUAAUGUAUAUUAUAUAAAGAAUGUGGGGCCAACAAUCGAAGUCGAUCAAACUUAAUAAGAAAAAUUCCUUAUGUGAUUUCUUGUAGGAAUCCCAACGGAGGCUAGUAGCAAUUUAUUUCCUAUUUCCACCGACCAAAUUCCAUCGGCCAUCGGAACCUUUCAAGGUAACACCCAGUCGGAGUUUUUCGCAAGAUUAAAUUUGAGGCAUAAUUUAACACUAGAGGCGAUGAGACUAGUUGUUAUGUUGAUUUGUUAAAACAAGCAACGAAAAGAGUCAGCACAAUACUCAAUCGACAGAUUCGGCAGAAAAUGGACAUGAGCGUGGCUGUCGUAAUGUUGCUACAACCAUUACCUUAUAAAGACUCAAUGGCUGUUUCCUCGUGCAAUAAUCACUUGAUAUCAAAUUUAGAAUAAUAAAGUGGAAAAGAUAAUUAUUGAAUUUUUUAAUAUUUCGAUAUAUGUUGAAAAACAAAACAUGUAUAGAUUCUAUAUAAAGUAGUAAGAGAUCAAUUACCAUAUGUUAGGAUCAAUCAAGAGUAAUCUCCUAAAUAUAUUUGUGUCUCUAAAAGUGGCGAUCAACAGGAAAAUCCCACUAAGCAAGUUCACAAGAUUAAGCAGUGGGGGAUUUGUGAACUUUUUGUGCUCUUGGUGGUUGAUCUGGUCAACGCAGUCACUGAAUUUGAUUUUCCUCAGACAAGUCCAAUCUCCUCCUCUUGGGUGAAUUACCAGCUAAAUCGUGCUCUUCGUGUUCUAGUCCCUGCCACCAUAGUGUUUCGAAUAGUGAGCUGAUAGGGAAAAAGAAAGAAAGGAUUAACAGGGGAGAGAAAAUUGAAGAAUUCCCCCAGUUAAUCAAACGAAAUGGUCCAACAAGGGACAUCAAGACAAGAAGAGAAUAGCAAGACAAAAUCCACUAAACUGGGAGCUUCUUUCACCUUUGCUUGUGCAGCAGGUUCGUCCUCGUCAAAAAAUGACGAAAAUUGGCUAAAAUCCAUAAAACCUGAGCUGAAUGUACUCGGUAGGGUGCCUUCUGCUUCCUCAAGAGGAUCAACACGAUUGGGUGGUUCGAUUUUAGUUCGGCGAUUCUCCGUUAUAGAUGUUUGGCCAUUCUGCAGAAACGCAUUGCAUAAAAUCAAAUGCAUCAACGGAAAUAACUGAGGCACUAUCUCCAUCUCAUGACAAACAUUCAUGUUUUUGUUCUCAAAUUGUCUAGAAGCUCUGAUUACAUAAUCAGCCUCUUAGUAAAAUCUGCUUCAACCUUUUACAAUAUCUCAGCUGCAAUUUUCUUUUACUAUAUUUUCUGCUCCGUAGUUCUUCAUCAUUCUUCUCAUUAUUUGAAUCAAAAUUUAUAAUGCAUGAGCAUUUCAGAGUGAAAUUUCACUUCCUUUUGGUAGAGGACUGAUAGAAUCCACUUGAAGUUUUUCUCAAAGCGGAUUUUAACAAAAUAAACCGUUUUCUAAAGUGUCUGUGAAUCACAUCUAAUUAACUUCCCAAGCAAUGCACGUCAACAUAAAAGAAUAGUACUACGACGAAAUGGGUAAACUGAUGUAUGGGGGAGGAAGAGCUAUUAUUCGGUGAUUGUAGCCCAUGCUGAAGCAGCUGCAGGAGGUGAGACAAAAACAAUUGAACAUGGUUCUCCAUCAGUAACUUCAUCUUUUCUUGGAUCUCAUCCAGUAUUUACAGGUAAUAAGACGCAAUGAGUAAGUUUAGGAGCUGCUCUCACCUUUGCUCUGGCUGCUGCUUCAUCUUCGAUAUUUCUGACCAUUUCGAACCUUGGCUCUUUACCUUUCUUCCCCUUGGUCUGGGAAAGAUCUGCAGCUGGCGUUGCAUCAACCCGUUCAUCCUCUUUAGUCGAUCCAAGGGAAGAUUUCAUUUCAAUAGAUUUAUCAGAAAGACUGUUAUCCAAUGAGAAGUCAUAACCAGAGAGACUCCCAAUAUUCGUAAACUGAUGUAUGGGGGAGAUAGAGCUAUUAUUCGGUGAUUGUAGCCCACGCUGAAGCAGCUGCAGGAGGUGAGACAAAAACAAUUGAACACGGUUCUCCAUCAGUAACUUCAUCUUUUCUUGGAUCUCAUCCAGUAUUUACAGGUAAUAAGACGCAAUGAGUAAGUUUAGGAGCUGCUCUCACCUUUGCUCUGGCUGCUGCUUCAUCUUCGAUAUUUCUGACCAUUUCGAACCUUGGCUCUUUACCUUUCUUCCCCUUGGUCUGGGAAAGAUCUGCAGCUGGCGUUGCAUCAACCCGUUCAUCCUCUUUAGUCGAUCCAAGGAAGAUUUCAUUUCAAUAGAUUUAUCAGAAAGACUGUUAUCCAAUGAGAAGUCAUAACCAGAGAGACUCCCAAUAUUCGUAAACUGAUGUAUGGGGGAGAUAGAGCUAUUAUUCGGUGAUUGUAGCCCACGCUGAAGCAGCUGCAGGAGGUGAGACAAAAACAAUUGAACACGGUUCUCCAUCAGUAACUUCAUCUUUUCUUGGAUCUCAUCCAGUAUUUACAGGUAAUAAGACGCAAUGAGUAAGUUUAGGAGCUGCUCUCACCUUUGCUUCAUCUUCGAUAUUUCUGUCUUCAUUUUCAGUCUGAACCAUUUCGAACCUUGGCUCUUUACCUUUCUUCCCCUUGGCAUCGCAAAGAUCUGCAUCUGGCAUUGGAUCAAUCCAUUCAUCCUCUUUAGUCGUUCCGUGUGAAGAUUUCAUUUCAAUAGAUUUAUCAGAAAGACUGUUAUCCAUUGAGAAGUCAUAACCAGAGAGACUCCCAAUAUUCGUAAACUGAUGUAUGGGGGAGGAAGAGCUAUUAUUCGGUGAUUGUAGCCCACGCUGAAGCAGCUGCAGGAGGUGAGACAAAAACAAUUGAACACGGUUCUCCAUCAGUAACUUCAUCUUUUCUUGGAUCUCAUCCAGUAUUUACAGGUAAUAAGAUGCAAUGAGUAAGUUUAGGAGCUGCUCUCACCUUUGCUCUGGCUGCUGCUUCAUCUUCGAUAUUUCUGGCUCCAUUUUCUUGCUGAACCACUUCGAACCUUGGCUCUUCACCUUUCUUCCCCUUGGCAUCGCAAAGAUCUGCAUCUGGCAUUGGAUCAAUCCAUUCAUCCUCUUUAGUCAUUCCGUGUGAAGAUUUCAUUUCAAUAGAUUUAUCAGAAAGACUGUUAUCCAAUGAGAAGUCAUAACCAGAGAGACUCCCAAUAUUCGUAAACUGAUGUAUGGGGGAGGAAGAGCUAUUAUUCGGUGAUUGUAGCCCAUGCUGAAGCAGCUGCAUGAGCUGAGGCCAAGAAAUAGUGUGCAGUUCCGGUGAUAUCCCUUCAGGCUGUAUUUGCAAGUAAACGAUUACUCACUAACGUAUUCCACGCGCUCUGAUAUUGAAUGCAUAAACAGAACAUUUAUUCGUCCACACCUCAUCAUUAAAUUGAUUACACCAUUGCGCAGCUUCCAGCAGGGUGAAUUUCCCAUCCUCUGAUCCUGUCGUUGAAUUGUCAGCCUUUUCAUCUUGUUUGCGCGUUAAGUGACACAGAACAUCAUUUCCACUCUGCUGUCAAAAGACCGUGUUAUAUAAAUUCCCACCAUAGUUCUCAGAUUUUCUUCAAAAGUAAGAAACUGCUCUCAGAUUCGGCAAAAAUAAUAUCAUUCUCUACAUAUGUGUAAGAUUCAAAUCUUCUGCAGCAGAAACUGAGCACAAAAAUGUUUCUCUGCUUGUUUAGGACUAUUGGAAACUUUAAAAUCUAGUGUUUCUGCAGAUAAUUGUUGCUACACUUCUCAUGCGAUACGUCAUCAAAUUCAUGCAUCUUGUGAAUCUAAUUAAUUGCGACGAAUAAAUGAGGCUUACCUUGGGUAAAUCUUGGAGUAGAUGAUACUCAUGAAUAAUCCAGUCCUUCUUGGCUUUGUUUUCAGGGAAGCCUAAUAUUUUCUUGAAACCUAUCUUUUUGCCGUCAAUUGUAAUAUCUUUAGGUUUACCGGUGACCUUCCAAGAAGAACCGCAUGGUGUUUUCCUGGUAACCCGGGCCCCUUGGUUCUGCGUCUGUGAACAGAUGAACCACCAUUCUCGAUUAUUGGACGGAAGGAUCGACUGCCCUGCGAUGCACAUUUAAGAAACUCACUUUGAGUCAUGAAUAAAGGAGGCUUUUGCUCUCUUCCCGAGUCUCUCUCUUUGAAGUUGCAAACGACUCACCCGUGAACUUCCCAGGUAACUGCCAUGGAUUAAAGUCGGUGAUGUUUCCCAGUUUUGGAAUGAUGCAGAAAUGUUCUGUCCUUCCGGGAUUCUCCGACUUCAAAUGAUUAAUCAACUGCUGCUCGUUUGGACUGAAUCCGAACCCGUCUAUCGCCUUCUGAAAUAGCAGCAGGAUCUGCGUGACAAGAAACUCCAUCGAACCGAUCCCACCCGCCAUAUCACCUUUUCUUCCCCUCACACUAGCGAAUUCAGAGCUACCUGAGAGUGAACACUGCAAAGAAGUGAAGGUUAGUAUGUUUGGCGUUGCAGAGAAAAAGGUUGCGGGCUGGGAAGGAGGGGUCGACUAAGUGAAGAUUAUUAUGUUUGGCGUUCCAGAGAAAAAGGGUGCGGACUGGGAAGGAGGGGUCGACUUGUCUUGAAGGUUGACCCUUCCGCCACAAGGGUCAAUCACCGGGGUCCGCCACGACCAGAAACCUUUACGAGGCGAUUAAUAUAGUUAUGAUUUAUCGAAAUAAUCCUUUGUGCUCGAUCGGUUUCUUCGUGAGAUUUCAGCCGUCUCAUUGGGCGCGACGGCUGAUGAUUAGGCUGAUGAUUAUGUAGUACAUACAAUCAUUUACAAUCAGAAAAUCGUUAGCUUUCUACAGAAAUUCUGCACUUCUUAAACUAGCCAUUGCCAAGCCAGUUACGUCCAUAUGUGUAUUUAUAUUUUUUGGAAAUUAAGGAAACAAAAUGAUUAAUAAUAGAAGUGGCUCAUAAAAAAACAGAUUACACGGCUUAUCUAUUUCUAUAUGAUGUACAUGUUUAAUGAUAAUCGACAAGAUUUUCUACGUGUCAAUCCAAAUUCUAAGCUAAAUAUUACUUAGCUUUAAUAUUAUCGAAUGCUCAAAUUUCCGAAUGUCACAAGUUGAUCCCCCAAUUGUUGUGGAUUUGAGGUGUGACAGUAUGCAUAGCUCAUAGGAUCCUGUCCUGUCCGAAGUCUUAAUACCAAGUCACUGUUUAUUUUGCAUUGGCUCAAGUUCUCUCCAUUCUUGUAUUUUAUUUGCUUUAAUAUUAUUUGAUUAUGUAUAUGUGCUUGUUUGGAUGAUUCGCACAUGGUCAUCUAUUUGGCAUAAUCUAGAUGAUAAAAUAGGCAACAAUAUAAUUGAGAAGAAUGCAUGAAUAAUUAUUUGGGAAAAUAAAACAAAUAUUUCUUAAAAUUUUGUCCAAUGGAAAAUAUUAUCAUUUGAUUUUGCAUACGUUUAAUGUGAUCUUUAAACUAUUUCUAAAUUUUUAAUAUACUUUUUAAACUUUUAACAUAUUCAUUUUAGUAACUCAACUUUUCAUAACAAAGUUAAAUUAGUUCUAAGGUACUAUUCACAAGUUUUUAUAAUUAUAUUCUUGCCCAGAUUUUAG
rnacentral:lncRNA from 1 species